AGCGUACACGGUGGAUGCCCUGGCAGUCAGAGGCGAUGAAGGACGUGCUAAUCUGCGAUAAGCGUCGGUAAGGUGAUAUGAACCGUUAUAACCGGCGAUUUCCGAAUGGGGAAACCCAGUGUGAUUCGUCACACUAUCAUUAACUGAAUCCAUAGGUUAAUGAGGCGAACCGGGGGAACUGAAACAUCUAAGUACCCCGAGGAAAAGAAAUCAACCGAGAUUCCCCCAGUAGCGGCGAGCGAACGGGGAGCAGCCCAGAGCCUGAAUCAGUGUGUGUGUUAGUGGAAGCGUCUGGAAAGGCGCGCGAUACAGGGUGACAGCCCCGUACACAAAAAUGCACAUACUGUGAGCUCGAUGAGUAGGGCGGGACACGUGGUAUCCUGUCUGAAUAUGGGGGGACCAUCCUCCAAGGCUAAAUACUCCUGACUGACCGAUAGUGAACCAGUACCGUGAGGGAAAGGCGAAAAGAACCCCGGCGAGGGGAGUGAAAAAGAACCUGAAACCGUGUACGUACAAGCAGUGGGAGCACGCUUAGGCGUGUGACUGCGUACCUUUUGUAUAAUGGGUCAGCGACUUAUAUUCUGUAGCAAGGUUAACCGAAUAGGGGAGCCGAAGGGAAACCGAGUCUUAACUGGGCGUUAAGUUGCAGGGUAUAGACCCGAAACCCGGUGAUCUAGCCAUGGGCAGGUUGAAGGUUGGGUAACACUAACUGGAGGACCGAACCGACUAAUGUUGAAAAAUUAGCGGAUGACUUGUGGCUGGGGGUGAAAGGCCAAUCAAACCGGGAGAUAGCUGGUUCUCCCCGAAAGCUAUUUAGGUAGCGCCUCGUGAAUUCAUCUCCGGGGGUAGAGCACUGUUUCGGCAAGGGGGUCAUCCCGACUUACCAACCCGAUGCAAACUGCGAAUACCGGAGAAUGUUAUCACGGGAGACACACGGCGGGUGCUAACGUCCGUCGUGAAGAGGGAAACAACCCAGACCGCCAGCUAAGGUCCCAAAGUCAUGGUUAAGUGGGAAACGAUGUGGGAAGGCCCAGACAGCCAGGAUGUUGGCUUAGAAGCAGCCAUCAUUUAAAGAAAGCGUAAUAGCUCACUGGUCGAGUCGGCCUGCGCGGAAGAUGUAACGGGGCUAAACCAUGCACCGAAGCUGCGGCAGCGACGCUGAUGCGUUGUUGGGUAGGGGAGCGUUCUGUAAGCCUGUGAAGGUGUGCUGUGAGGCAUGCUGGAGGUAUCAGAAGUGCGAAUGCUGACAUAAGUAACGAUAAAGCGGGUGAAAAGCCCGCUCGCCGGAAGACCAAGGGUUCCUGUCCAACGUUAAUCGGGGCAGGGUGAGUCGACCCCUAAGGCGAGGCCGAAAGGCGUAGUCGAUGGGAAACAGGUUAAUAUUCCUGUACUUGGUGUUACUGCGAAGGGGGGACGGAGAAGGCUAUGUUGGCCGGGCGACGGUUGUCCCGGUUUAAGCGUGUAGGCUGGUUUUCCAGGCAAAUCCGGAAAAUCAAGGCUGAGGCGUGAUGACGAGGCACUACGGUGCUGAAGCAACAAAUGCCCUGCUUCCAGGAAAAGCCUCUAAGCAUCAGGUAACAUCAAAUCGUACCCCAAACCGACACAGGUGGUCAGGUAGAGAAUACCAAGGCGCUUGAGAGAACUCGGGUGAAGGAACUAGGCAAAAUGGUGCCGUAACUUCGGGAGAAGGCACGCUGAUAUGUAGGUGAAGCGACUUGCUCGUGGAGCUGAAAUCAGUCGAAGAUACCAGCUGGCUGCAACUGUUUAUUAAAAACACAGCACUGUGCAAACACGAAAGUGGACGUAUACGGUGUGACGCCUGCCCGGUGCCGGAAGGUUAAUUGAUGGGGUCAGCGCAAGCGAAGCUCUUGAUCGAAGCCCCGGUAAACGGCGGCCGUAACUAUAACGGUCCUAAGGUAGCGAAAUUCCUUGUCGGGUAAGUUCCGACCUGCACGAAUGGCGUAAUGAUGGCCAGGCUGUCUCCACCCGAGACUCAGUGAAAUUGAACUCGCUGUGAAGAUGCAGUGUACCCGCGGCAAGACGGAAAGACCCCGUGAACCUUUACUAUAGCUUGACACUGAACAUUGAGCCUUGAUGUGUAGGAUAGGUGGGAGGCUUUGAAGUGUGGACGCCAGUCUGCAUGGAGCCGGCCUUGAAAUACCACCCUUUAAUGUUUGAUGUUCUAACGUUGACCCGUGAUCCGGGUUGCGGACAGUGUCUGGUGGGUAGUUUGACUGGGGCGGUCUCCUCCUAAAGAGUAACGGAGGAGCACGAAGGUUGGCUAAUCCUGGUCGGACAUCAGGAGGUUAGUGCAAUGGCAUAAGCCAGCUUGACUGCGAGCGUGACGGCGCGAGCAGGUGCGAAAGCAGGUCAUAGUGAUCCGGUGGUUCUGAAUGGAAGGGCCAUCGCUCAACGGAUAAAAGGUACUCCGGGGAUAACAGGCUGAUACCGCCCAAGAGUUCAUAUCGACGGCGGUGUUUGGCACCUCGAUGUCGGCUCAUCACAUCCUGGGGCUGAAGUAGGUCCCAAGGGUAUGGCUGUUCGCCAUUUAAAGUGGUACGCGAGCUGGGUUUAGAACGUCGUGAGACAGUUCGGUCCCUAUCUGCCGUGGGCGCUGGAGAACUGAGGGGGGCUGCUCCUAGUACGAGAGGACCGGAGUGGACGCAUCACUGGUGUUCGGGUUGUCAUGCCAAUGGCACUGCCCGGUAGCUAAAUGCGGAAGAGAUAAGUGCUGAAAGCAUCUAAGCACGAAACUUGCCCCGAGAUGAGUUCUCCCUGACUCCUUGA
rnacentral:rRNA from 1 species